UACUUCUUACCAAAAAAAAAGAAAAGAAAACAACUUCUCCUUUUUCAUUAGGGUUCUUAUCUCUCUCGAGUCUCACCUCGUCGUCUAUGUCAUCCUCGAGUCUCAUCUCUGUGUUUCCCCUUUGCUCGAUCUCGAGCUCCAACCACCACUCUGUCGUCUCCACUCACCCGCAAUCAAACACGGUGGCGCCUCUUGUCCACUCUCGAACCUCACUGCCGUGUCUCUGCUCAUCAAUCCGCCGUUCUCUGCUUCGCGCCGCAACGGUCUCGCCGUCGCCGUCACGUCUGGAGCUCUCAUCCAUAUAAUCCAUCGCUGAGUUCGUGACCAAACCACCACACGAUACCACCUGCUCCGAAUCAAGCUUCUCUGGCGCGUUCUUGCUUCACAACCGGCAUCUCCGUCUUAUUCUGUUCUCGUCAUCACCAGAAUCAUGCCUCACCGUCGGGAUCGAAGUGGAGAAGAGCAACAAUGGUGAUCUUUGAACUAUUUGCAGAUAUGGUCCUUCAUCUUUGGUAGAGCUUUGUUUUUGCCCCAAGCAUUUGCCAUGUGCCGUGAAAGACAGAAACAGAUUUAAAAGAAGUCGAUUUGAUUUAAGUUUCUCUUGGAUGCUUGAUGGCUGAUGAUUUAUUUGUGGGUGUUUUGUAUGUUCGAUUUCAGAGAAGGAGAAGCACUACAAGUGAAAGCAGCCAAGAAAGUUGUUAUAAAAUUGCCAGUGGAUGAUGCUCGUUUAGUUAAGAGCUGAGCUUGUCUUGUGUCUAAAUCGCCUUGUGCUGUGACUGUAUUGAAACUGCAGUUUGAUAGCUUUUGAUUAAUGAACCCAUCUUAAAGGCUGCUAGGUAUUGAUUUAGUAGGAAUGGUGUAGAGCCUGAUGAUUGAAGAAGCUUCGAGGGUUGCAAGUGCCAGAGUUGUUAAACGAAUCCAGCACAAACUCGACCUUGCAGGAAACAAGGAGGACAUUGAGAAGUACAGCAAACGACUUGUGGCAAUGCAGGAAACAAGCAGGACAUUGGUAUCAGACUUGCGACUUUUGACUGCAUUUUACCAUUUUGGUAUCAAUGUAGGUAUCAAAUACCAGAGGAAUUGCCAUACAAUGAAGCUCGUGCACUAUUUAAAGAGCCUGAUAUAUAGAUCAAAUUGCAAUGUAUAGACGAUAAUUAGAGUUUUGUUAUAAAAUAGUUUAUAUAUCAUCAUUAUUCAAAAAUGAUUGUAUUUUAGUUAAAUAUCUUCUAGUAUAAAAUUAAAGGAUACAAAUGAUAAUUAGAGUUUUGUUAUAAAAUAUUUAUAUAUAAUAUUUAAGAAUUUAUA